CCUACGGGUGGCAGCAGUGGGGAAUAUUGCACAAUGGGGGAAACCCUGAUGCAGCGACGCCGCGUGAGUGAAGAAGUAAUUCGUUAUGUAAAGCUCUAUCAGCAGGGAAGAAGAUGAACGUUACUGAGUUAGAAGCCCCCGCUAAACAAGUGCCAGCAGCCGCGGGAAUACGUAGGGGGGAAGCGUUAUCCGGGGUUACUGGGUGUAAAGGGAGCGUAGACGGCAGGGCAAGUCUGGAGUGAAAGGCGAGGGCUCAACCCCGGGACUGCUCUGGAAACUGUGCGGCUGGAGUGCUGGAGAGGUAAGUGGAAUUCCUAGUGUAGCGGUGAAAUGCGUAGAUAUUAGGAGGAACACCAGUGGCGAAGGCGGCUUACUGGACAGUAACUGACGUUGAGGCUCGAAAGCGUGGGGAGCAAACAGGAUUAGAUACCCCUGUAGUG
rnacentral:rRNA from 1 species